rnacentral:rRNA from 1 species
CCUACGGGAGGCAGCAGUGGGGAAUAUUGGACAAUGGGGGCAACCCUGAUCCAGCCAUGCCGCGUGUGUGAAGAAGGCCCUCGGGUUGUAAAGCACUUUCAGUGAGGAAGAACGCCUGGUGGUUAAUACCCAUCAGGAAAGACAUCACUCACAGAAGAAGCACCGGCUAACUCCGUGCCAGCAGCCGCGGUAAUACGGAGGGUGCGAGCGUUAAUCGGAAUUACUGGGCGUAAAGCGCGCGUAGGUGGCUUGAUAAGCCGGUUGUGAAAGCCCCGGGCUCAACCUGGGAACGGCAUCCGGAACUGUCAAGCUAGAGUGCAGGAGAGGAAGGUAGAAUUCCCGGUGUAGCGGUGAAAUGCGUAGAGAUCGGGAGGAAUACCAGUGGCGAAGGCGGCCUUCUGGACUGACACUGACACUGAGGUGCGAAAGCGUGGGUAGCAAACAGGAUUAGAUACCCGUGUAGUC